rnacentral:rRNA from 1 species
GCAGGCCUAACACAUGCAAGUCGGACGGAAACGACAAGAACAAUCACUUCGGUGUGCGUUUUUGGGCGUCGAGUGGCGGACGGGUGAGUAACGCGUGGGAAUCUACCCUUUAGUUGGGGACAACAUAUGGAAACGUAUGCUAAUACCGAAUAUGCUCUACGGAGUAAAGGUGCCCUCUCCUUGGAAGGUAUCGCUAAAGGAUGAGCCCGCGUUAGAUUAGCUAGUUGGUAAGGUAAAGGCUUACCAAGGCGACGAUCUAUAGCUGGUUUGAGAGGAUGAUCAGCCACACUGGGACUGAGACACGGCCCAGACUCCUACGGGAGGCAGCAGUGGGGAAUAUUGCACAAUGAGGGAAACCUUGAUGCAGCCAUGCCGCGUGUGUGAAGAAGGCCCGAGGGUUGUAAAGCACUUUCAAUUGUGAGGAAGAUUAAGUAGCUAAUACCUGCUUAGUUUGACGUUAACUUUAGAAGAAGCACCGGCUAACUCUGUGCCAGCAGCCGCGGUAAUACAGAGGGUGCAAGCGUUAUUCGGAAUUACUGGGCGUAAAGCGCGCGUAGGCGGACUGUUAAGUCGGUUGUGAAAGCCCUGGGCUCAACCUAGGAACUGCAUCCGAUACUGGCAAUCUAGAGUUUAAGAGAGGGAAGUGGGAUUCCAGGUGUAGCAGUGAAAUGCGUAGAUAUCUGGAGGAACAUCAGUGGCGAAGGCGACUUCCUGGCUUAAAACUGACGCUGAGGUGCGAAAGCUUGGGUAGCGAACGGGAUUAGAUACCCCGGUAGUCCAAGCCGUAAACGAUGUCAACUAGCUGUUGGCCUUAUUAAAAAGGUUAGUAGCGUAGCUAACGCGAUAAGUUGA